rnacentral:rRNA from 1 species
GAUGAACGCUGACAGAAUGCUUAACACAUGCAAGUCAACUUGAAUUUGGGUUUUUAACUUAGAUUUGGGUGGCGGACGGGUGAGUAACGCGUAAAGAACUUGCCUCACAGCUAGGGACAACAUUUAGAAAUGAAUGCUAAUACCUGAUAUUAUGAUUUUAAGGCAUCUUAGAAUUAUGAAAGCUAUAAGCACUGUGAGAGAGCUUUGCGUCCCAUUAGCUAGUUGGAGAGGUAACAGCUCACCAAGGCGAUGAUGGGUAGCCGGCCUGAGAGGGUGAACGGCCACAAGGGGACUGAGACACGGCCCUUACUCCUACGGGAGGCAGCAGUGGGGAAUAUUGGACAAUGGACCGAGAGUCUGAUCCAGCAAUUCUGUGUGCACGAUGAAGUUUUUCGGAAUGUAAAGUGCUUUCAGUUGGGAAGAAAAAAAUGACGGUACCAACAGAAGAAGUGACGGCUAAAUACGUGCCAGCAGCCGCGGUAAUACGUAUGUCACGAGCGUUAUCCGGAUUUAUUGGGCGUAAAGCGCGUCUAGGUGGUUAUAUAAGUCUGAUGUGAAAAUGCAGGGCUCAACUCUGUAUUUGCGUUGGAAACUGUAUAACUAGAGUACUGGAGAGGUAAGCGGGAACUACAAAGUGUAGAGGUGAAAUUCUUAGAUAUUUGUAGGAAUGCCGAUGGGGAAGCCAGCUUACUGGACAGAUACUGACGCUAAAGCGCGAAAGCGUGGGUAGCAAACAGG